rnacentral:misc_RNA from 1 species
GAAAUGCGAUACUUGGUGUGAAUUGCAGAAUCCCGCGAACCAUCGAGUCUUUGAACGCAAGUUGCGCCCGAAGCCAUUAGGUUGAGGGCACGUCUGCCGGGGUGGAAGAAGGGCUGCGGGCGGAUGUUGGCCCCCAGCGCACGCCCUGGCGCGGUCGGCCCAAAAGCGAGUGCCCCGCAACGGACGACACGUCGUGACUAGUGGUGGUUGACAAACCGUUGCGUCGCCUGGCGCGCGUCUGGUCUGUCACGGGAGGCCUGUCGUGACCCUAUCGCGCCGCCGCCAAGGCGCUCCGAUCGCGACCCUAGAUCAGGCGGGAUUACCCGCUGUGUUUAA